GCUUAACACAUGCAAGUCGAGCGAGAAUCGUUUUGCUGAAGGCUUCGGUCUGACGCAGAAUGAGGAAAGCGGCGAACGGGUGAGUAACGCGUGGGCAACCUGGCCUUAAGAAAAGGAUAGCCCCCGGAAACGGGGAGUAAUACUUUAUGAGAAUGAAAGAGGGCAUCCUGUUUCUAUUCAAAGCGCAAGCGCUUAAGGAUGGGCCCGCGUAUCAUUAGCUAGUUGGUGAGAUAACAGCCCACCAAGGCAACGAUGAUUAGCCGGUCUGAGAGGGCGGGCGGCCACAUGGGAACUGAGGGACAGACCAAACUCCUACGGGAGGCAGCAGUGGGGAAUAUUGCGCAAUGGAGAAGAACUCUGACGAAGCAAUACCGCGUGAGCGAAGAAGGUCUUCGGAUCGUAAAGCUCUGUUAUCAGGGAAGAAGAAAAUGACGGUACCUGAUGAGCAAGUCCCGGCUAACUACGUGCCAGCCGCCGCCGUAAUAC
rnacentral:rRNA from 1 species